CGGGAGGCUUCCCGUGGCUAAAGUGGAGGAGGACGGGGGGGGCCAGCCUCAUCCCACUGCCAGUUGACCCUCAGUUCCUCAAAGACAGUGAGUGAGGCCAGGCCUCGGGCUGCCUCUUCGGGUCACACCCAGUGUGAAAAGGCAGCAGAUAAACCAGGGCAGACACUCGCCCCCAGGACUGGCUCCCCCAGAUCCCAGGCCUCUAGGCCCCGUAGACGCAAGUUUCCCCUGCUGCCACGCAGGCGAGGGGAGCCUCUGAUGCUGCCACCUCCCUUAAAGCUGGGGUUCCGGGUCACUGCUGAAGACCUGGACCUGGAGAAGGAGGCGGCGUUGCAGUGCAUCAACAGUGUACUGCGGGGUGAGGCCAAGGCCAUCUGGGACUGCAGACCCUCACGGCCUUCCCACACUUUGUCUUCACUUGCAACAGGGGCUUCUGGUCUGCCUGCUGUUUCUAAAGCACCCAAUAUGGAUGCACAGCAGGAGAGACACAAGUCCCAAGACUCCUGGGGCCCGGUGCCCCCCUAGCAUCUGCUGCAGAGGCUCCCUCUACAGCUCCUGUGUCUGGGAAGAAACACAGACCAUCAGGCCCCCUGUUCUUCUCGGAUCCCCUUCCUGCCACCUCUUCCAACUCCCAGGACUCAGCCCAGGUCACCUCGCUGAUUCCUGCCCCCUUGCCAGCUGCAAGCAUGGAGGGCAGCAUGAGAAGCCCAAGGCCUGGCACUUCUGGAGCCAGUUCCAGCUCUGCAGCCACACCCACGGGCUUUGGGAGCAGAGAGCCAGCCCCAGCUCUGAGUUCCCUCAGAAGAAAACAGAGGUGGUGAAAAGGCUGGACUCAGCAGCAACACCAAAUCCCGGACCAAGCAGAAACCACCCAAGACUGAAGGGCUCGUGCCAGAGCGGUGGCCACAGAGAUGGGGAUUGCUACAUUGCCCAGACUGGUCUCAAACACCUGGGUUCGGUUAUCCUGCCUUGGCCUCCCAAAGAUUACAGAGGACUGAAACAGCAGGUGCUGUUUCAAUACCACCACCGAGAGAGACAGAGGGGCUGUGCCAUGCUGGAGUCCUCAGGAAGAGAGUGACCUCGACCCUGGCUGUGCUGCAAGCUGACUCCAGCCCUGGUACUUCCGAGUCUCAGUGGC
rnacentral:lncRNA from 1 species